UUAAGCGACUAAGCGUACACGGUGGAUGCCCUGGCAGUCAGAGGCGAUGAAGGACGUGCUAAUCUGCGAUAAGCGUCGGUAAGGUGAUAUGAACCGUUAUAACCGGCGAUUUCCGAAUGGGGAAACCCAGUGUGAUUCGUCACACUAUCAUUAACUGAAUCCAUAGGUUAAUGAGGCGAACCGGGGGAACUGAAACAUCUAAGUACCCCGAGGAAAAGAAAUCAACCGAGAUUCCCCCAGUAGCGGCGAGCGAACGGGGAGCAGCCCAGAGCCUGAAUCAGUGUGUGUGUUAGUGGAAGCGUCUGGAAAGGCGCGCGAUACAGGGUGACAGCCCCGUACACAAAAAUGCACAUGCUGUGAGCUCGAUGAGUAGGGCGGGACACGUGGUAUCCUGUCUGAAUAUGGGGGGACCAUCCUCCAAGGCUAAAUACUCCUGACUGACCGAUAGUGAACCAGUACCGUGAGGGAAAGGCGAAAAGAACCCCGGCGAGGGGAGUGAAAAAGAACCUGAAACCGUGUACGUACAAGCAGUGGGAGCACGCUUAGGCGUGUGACUGCGUACCUUUUGUAUAAUGGGUCAGCGACUUAUAUUCUGUAGCAAGGUUAACCGAAUAGGGGAGCCGAAGGGAAACCGAGUCUUAACUGGGCGUUAAGUUGCAGGGUAUAGACCCGAAACCCGGUGAUCUAGCCAUGGGCAGGUUGAAGGUUGGGUAACACUAACUGGAGGACCGAACCGACUAAUGUUGAAAAAUUAGCGGAUGACUUGUGGCUGGGGGUGAAAGGCCAAUCAAACCGGGAGAUAGCUGGUUCUCCCCGAAAGCUAUUUAGGUAGCGCCUCGUGAAUUCAUCUCCGGGGGUAGAGCACUGUUUCGGCAAGGGGGUCAUCCCGACUUACCAACCCGAUGCAAACUGCGAAUACCGGAGAAUGUUAUCACGGGAGACACACGGCGGGUGCUAACGUCCGUCGUGAAGAGGGAAACAACCCAGACCGCCAGCUAAGGUCCCAAAGUCAUGGUUAAGUGGGAAACGAUGUGGGAAGGCCCAGACAGCCAGGAUGUUGGCUUAGAAGCAGCCAUCAUUUAAAGAAAGCGUAAUAGCUCACUGGUCGAGUCGGCCUGCGCGGAAGAUGUAACGGGGCUAAACCAUGCACCGAAGCUGCGGCAGCGACACUGUGUGUUGUUGGGUAGGGGAGCGUUCUGUAAGCCUGUGAAGGUGUGCUGUGAGGCAUGCUGGAGGUAUCAGAAGUGCGAAUGCUGACAUAAGUAACGAUAAAGCGGGUGAAAAGCCCGCUCGCCGGAAGACCAAGGGUUCCUGUCCAACGUUAAUCGGGGCAGGGUGAGUCGACCCCUAAGGCGAGGCCGAAAGGCGUAGUCGAUGGGAAACAGGUUAAUAUUCCUGUACUUGGUGUUACUGCGAAGGGGGGACGGAGAAGGCUAUGUUGGCCGGGCGACGGUUGUCCCGGUUUAAGCGUGUAGGCUGGUUUUCCAGGCAAAUCCGGAAAAUCAAGGCUGAGGCGUGAUGACGAGGCACUACGGUGCUGAAGCAACAAAUGCCCUGCUUCCAGGAAAAGCCUCUAAGCAUCAGGUAACAUCAAAUCGUACCCCAAACCGACACAGGUGGUCAGGUAGAGAAUACCAAGGCGCUUGAGAGAACUCGGGUGAAGGAACUAGGCAAAAUGGUGCCGUAACUUCGGGAGAAGGCACGCUGAUAUGUAGGUGAAGCGACUUGCUCGUGGAGCUGAAAUCAGUCGAAGAUACCAGCUGGCUGCAACUGUUUAUUAAAAACACAGCACUGUGCAAACACGAAAGUGGACGUAUACGGUGUGACGCCUGCCCGGUGCCGGAAGGUUAAUUGAUGGGGUCAGCGCAAGCGAAGCUCUUGAUCGAAGCCCCGGUAAACGGCGGCCGUAACUAUAACGGUCCUAAGGUAGCGAAAUUCCUUGUCGGGUAAGUUCCGACCUGCACGAAUGGCGUAAUGAUGGCCAGGCUGUCUCCACCCGAGACUCAGUGAAAUUGAACUCGCUGUGAAGAUGCAGUGUACCCGCGGCAAGACGGAAAGACCCCGUGAACCUUUACUAUAGCUUGACACUGAACAUUGAGCCUUGAUGUGUAGGAUAGGUGGGAGGCUUAGAAGUGUGGACGCCAGUCUGCAUGGAGCCGACCUUGAAAUACCACCCUUUAAUGUUUGAUGUUCUAACGUUGACCCGUAAUCCGGGUUGCGGACAGUGUCUGGUGGGUAGUUUGACUGGGGCGGUCUCCUCCUAAAGAGUAACGGAGGAGCACGAAGGUUGGCUAAUCCUGGUCGGACAUCAGGAGGUUAGUGCAAUGGCAUAAGCCAGCUUGACUGCGAGCGUGACGGCGCGAGCAGGUGCGAAAGCAGGUCAUAGUGAUCCGGUGGUUCUGAAUGGAAGGGCCAUCGCUCAACGGAUAAAAGGUACUCCGGGGAUAACAGGCUGAUACCGCCCAAGAGUUCAUAUCGACGGCGGUGUUUGGCACCUCGAUGUCGGCUCAUCACAUCCUGGGGCUGAAGUAGGUCCCAAGGGUAUGGCUGUUCGCCAUUUAAAGUGGUACGCGAGCUGGGUUUAGAACGUCGUGAGACAGUUCGGUCCCUAUCUGCCGUGGGCGCUGGAGAACUGAGGGGGGCUGCUCCUAGUACGAGAGGACCGGAGUGGACGCAUCACUGGUGUUCGGGUUGUCAUGCCAAUGGCACUGCCCGGUAGCUAAAUGCGGAAGAGAUAAGUGCUGAAAGCAUCUAAGCACGAAACUUGCCCCGAGAUGAGUUCUCCCUGACCCUUUAAGGGUCCUGAAGGAACGUUGAAGACGACGACGUUGAUAGGCCGGGUGUGUAAGCGCAGCGAUGCGUUGAGCUAACCGGUACUAAUGAACCGUGAGGCUUAACCUU
rnacentral:rRNA from 1 species